rnacentral:rRNA from 2 species
CAUGCAGUCGAACGAUGAACCACAUUUCCGGUGGGGAUUAGUGGCGAACGGGUGAGUAACACGUGGGCAAUCUGCCCUGCACUCUGGGACAAGCCCUGGAAACGGGGUCUAAUACCGGAUACUGACCCGCUUGGGCAUCCAAGCGGUUCGAAAGCUCCGGCGGUGCAGGAUGAGCCCGCGGCCUAUCAGCUUGUUGGUGAGGUAAUGGCUCACCAAGGCGACGACGGGUAGCCGGCCUGAGAGGGCGACCGGCCACACUGGGACUGAGACACGGCCCAGACUCCUACGGGAGGCAGCAGUGGGGAAUAUUGCACAAUGGGCGAAAGCCUGAUGCAGCGACGCCGCGUGAGGGAUGACGGCCUUCGGGUUGUAAACCUCUUUCAGCAGGGAAGAAGCGAAAGUGACGGUACCUGCAGAAGAAGCGCCGGCUAACUACGUGCCAGCAGCCGCGGUAAUACGUAGGGCGCGAGCGUUGUCCGGAAUUAUUGGGCGUAAAGAGCUCGUAGGCGGCUUGUCACGUCGGUUGUGAAAGCCCGGGGCUUAACCCCGGGUCUGCAGUCGAUACGGGCAGGCUAGAGUUCGGUAGGGGAGAUCGGAAUUCCUGGUGUAGCGGUGAAAUGCGCAGAUAUCAUGAGGAACACCGGUGGCGAAGGCGGAUCUCUGGGCCGAUACUGACGCUGAGGAGCGAAAGCCUGUGGGAGCGAACAGGGAUUACAUACCCUGGUAGUCCACGCCCGUAAACGGAGGGCACUAGGGUGCGGGGAUUUUCCCCGUUGGUCCGU